CUCUUAUCCCGAGCUGGUGGAGGGACAGGCCCAAUGAAACCCAGCAACCUGCAAUCGAAGAUUAUGAAAAAGUUUUUUUCGAGCAACGGUGCUAAACCUGAAGCAAGGCGUUUGCCUUGAACGAUAAGAG
rnacentral:ncRNA from 2 species